GAUGAACGCUGGCGGCGUGCCUAAUACAUGCAAGUAGAACGCUGAAGCUUGGUGCUUGCACCGAGCGGGUGAGUUGCGAACGGGUGAGUAACGCGUAGGUAACCUGCCUGGUAGCGGGGGAUAACUAUGGGAAACGAUAGCUAAUACCGCAUAACAGUAGAUAUUGCAUGAUAUCUGCUUGAAAGGUGCAAAUGCAUCACUACCAGAUGGACCUGCGUUGUAUUAGCUAGUUGGUGAGGUAACGGCCCACCAAGGCGAAGAUACCUAGCCGACCUGAGAGGGGGAACCGCCCCCCUGGGAACGAGACCCGGCCCAGGACCCCAACGGAGGCAGCCAGAGGGGAACUUUGGGCAUGGGGGGAAAGCUGAACGAGGCACGCCGCGGGGGGGAAGAAGGUUCUCGGGUUGUAAAGCUCGGUUUUAAGGGAAGAAAGAGUGUGAGAGUGAAAAGUUCACACUGUGACGGUACCUUAUCAGAAAGCGACGGCUAACUACGUG
rnacentral:rRNA from 1 species